AUGUCCCAGGAGGGGACUCAGUCCCAAAGGCGGAACCACUUCUGGCAGACUGCAUCCUCCCUCCCUAAGUGCUUUUGGAAAUGUGGGAACAAACAUUUGCUCUGGUCUCCGGAAGAACGUAUGAAGACUAAACUGCAGUGGGUCUGGGAAAAGCUGAUGUCAGAGAUGCUUAUUUUCUCCAGUCACUGGAACUCAUUCAAAUCAGGAAUCAUGUGGCCCCUUCCUCAAUUAUCGAGGGCGCUUCUAAAGGAAGAGUCAGCAGUGGAGGGCAAGCAGACAGCAGAAGAUGAAAGCUGCACCAAUUUUAAAACCUUUCCACCUGGAGGAUCAUCCCGCUUUCCAGAGGCCUCUAUCCACUUUCUGCUAACAAGCUUCCAAGACAGACUGCCCUGCUCUCUAGCACCAUUCCUCCCCGCUCUCUCAUCUAGAGGUCCCUAAUAGUUGAGAUGUCUCUCCAGGAACUUGGAUCUGCAAAUCUUUGCAUUCUCAGAAGGUAAAUUCUACAUGUUCUGGGAGCAGGAAGACAACAGCUUAACCUACAGUGCAUGAGAAAGGCAAAAGCAAGAAAGUUAGACGUUUGGAUGGCAAGGCUAACUGUGCACCUCUGGGGUACUUUAAACUUCACAAAGAGACACAGACAUGGGUAGUUUUAAAUGAGACAAUUUUCAGAUACUUGCAUGCUUCUACCCACUUUUAAUAUUUAAAAACUUCAAAAAUGCAGAAUAAAAUCCAUACGCCAUUUACCUAGAUUCAGCAAUUGUUCACAUUUUGCCACAUGUCUCUGGCCCUUCUCUACACAACACACACACACACACACACACACACACACACAAACACACACACAUUUUUUGUUCAAGAAUUCCGAAGUUUCAGAUACCAUAAUAUUUAUUCCUAAGUACUUAAAUAUGCAUCACCUAACAAUAAAGGAAUUGCUCUAUAUAACCACAAUUGCUCUAUAUGACCAGCCCCAGGCUCCUGAUUGCUUUGUCGCAACUUUUACCAAAAAGAGCACUAACAAAGGCCUGAAGGUAAAGAGUAGAAGCCUAACAUCACAUCAUUAUCUCACCUAAGAAAAUUAAUGCUAAUUUAUUAAUUAAAUUAAUACUAAUUUAUUAUUAUCAUCUAAUAUUCUAAAUUUUCUAUAGUUGUCCCCCUAAGCAUUCUAACUUCAUUGUUUUAUUUUUAAAAAUAUUUUAAAUCUAAUUAGAGUUUAUUCUCAGUAAUCGUUUAUUAUGCGCCUUUCACCUAAAUACAGUGAUUCCCUCUUAUCCACACUGGAUAUGUUUCAAGACCCACAGUGAAUGCUUGAAACUGUGGAUAGUACCAAACCCUAUAUAUGCUGUUUUUUUCUAUACAUACAUACCUAUGAUAAAGUUUGAUUCAUAAAUUAGCUACGGUAAUAGGUUAACAAUGACUAGUAAUAAAACAGAAAAAUUAAAACAAUAUACUGUAAUCCAAGUGAAGGUGGACUCUUUCAAAAUAUCUUUUUGUACUGUACUCAUCUAUAUCAGACAGUGAUAGUCCACAGGUAAAUGAAAGCACAGAAAGUGAAACUGAACUGAGGAUAAGUGUGGACUAGUGUAGUUGCCCCACCUAUUCCUUUUAUGACAUGGAUUUUUAUGUUGUUUUUAAGAAUUUGUGUCACCUGACUUCUAGAACAUCCCAUUUUCUGAAUUUGUAUGAUUGAUUGUUCCUCGUGAUUAGAUUUAGGUUAAACUUUUCUGGCAGAAAUACUACAUAGUUGGCAUUGUGUCUCUCUUCUGGUAUCAGAAGUCACAUUAUGUCGGAUUGUUUCAUUAUUGGGGAUGUUAAGUUUGAGCACUUGGUUAAGGUGGUGUCCCCCAGAUCUCUCCACAGCAAAGGUACGUAUUUCCUUUUGUCAUUAAUAAAUAACAUGCAGGGUCAUUGCUUAGACCACAUAUGCCGCUGUUCCCCAUCUAUUAGCCAGUGAUUUUACCAUCCAUUGAUGAUUCUUGAUGCUUGACACAAGAAACCUUUGAACCCAAGACAGCCAAUGGGGUGUAGGCUGUGACAGGGUUAGCUGCAUGUUAUAUCCAUGGUAGUGGGAUAGCCAGAGAUCUGCCAUUACUACUGCCAGCAGUUCCCAGCUCAGGUGCCAAAAGAGAGAGAGAGAGAGAGAGAGAGAUAGGUGCACAACUCAAGCUUCAUGCUGACCGUGGCAUCCUUACAGACUUCUGCUAACUCCCUCAGGCAGUCAUGCCCCUGAGACAUGAGAGAGACUCUCUCCCUCAGUCCUCUCCCCCAUCUCUAUCUCCAUCACCUAUUCAAGUGGAAUCCCGCAGCAAAGUGGCUUCAAUCCUGAAGUGUUAACAAAAUUUGCUGAGAGAUCUCUUUCAAUUCACAGUUACAGUCCACUUUCUCCAAGAUGUGUGUACUCAUAUUUCCAGGUGUGUCCAUCCCAACCAUAGGCAGUAGACAGAACCUAAAGCUCUCUCAGUCCUUUGGCCUUGACCAGCCCAGGUCCUGAUUGCUUUGUCGCAACUUUUUACUGAAAAGAGCACAAACAAAGGCCUGGAGGUAAAGAGUGGAAGCCCAACACCAAUUGCCCCCAGUGCACAUGGUAGCAUAGGGAGAAGAAUGUUGUCUCUCUCCUGUCAUCAGUACUAUGCAAUCAUAGCUUCAGCUCAAAGAAAACAGGGACCAGCUGACACAAGAGUGUAUCCAGAAUGAUAAUCAGGGGACCUAAACUUGUCAGAUUUUAACCUCCACCUGGACAUUAGGGCAGAAUCAUUUAAUUCAUUCCUUCACUUUAUACAUAAGGGAACUAAGGUCCAAAGAGAAGAAAGGACUUGCUGAUGUUGAUACAACUUGUAAAUAAGAGAGUUAGUACUUGAAUAGGCAACCUUCCUGGGCCAAGAUAGGUGCCUUGUCUGUCUGUCUGUCUGUCUGUCUGUCUCUCUCUCUCUCUCUCUCUCUCUGUCUCUCUGUUUUCUUAACAGAUGGGGUCUUGUUCUCUCUCCCAGGUCUGGAGUGCAUUGGCACAAUCACAGCUUACAGCAUCCUUGAAUUCCCAGACUUAAGUGAUCCUCCCACCUCAGCCUCUCAAAGUAGCUGGGACCAUAGGUAUGCACCACCACACCUGAAUAGGCCCUCUCUCCUUUGUAAGACUUCUUUAA
ensembl:lncRNA